rnacentral:rRNA from 1 species
AAUGAACGCUGGCGGCGUGCUUAACACAUACAAGUUGAGCGGUAAGGCACCUUCGGGUGUACACGAGCAGCGAACGGGUGAGUAACGCGUGGGUAAUCUACCCAUGAGGUGGAGGAUAGCCUCGGGAAACCGGGGGUAAUACUGCAUACGUCUCGACUGACAUAAGUCUAACGAGAGAAAGGCGGGGAUCUUCGGACCUGUCGCCUCUGGAUGAGCCCGCGUCCGAUUAGCUAGUUGGUGAGGUAAUGGCCUACCAAGGCAUCGAUCCGUAGCCGGCCUGAGAGGGUGAUCGGCCACACUGGAACUGAGACACGGUCCAGACUCCUACGGGAGGCAGCAGUGGGGAAUUUUGCGCAAUGGGGGAAACCCUGACGCAGCAACGCCACGUGGGUGAAGAAGCAUCUUGGUGUGUAAAGCCCUGUCGAUAGAGAGACUAAGACCUUUAGGUUAAGAGCUGAAAGGUUUGAAUGUAUCUAUAGAGGAAGCCCCGGCUAACUCCGUGCCAGCAGCCGCGGUAAUACGGGGGGGGCAAGCGUUAUUCGGAUUUACUGGGCGUAAAGGGUGCGUAGGCGGCCAGAUCAGUGAGAAGUGAAAGCCCUCGGCUCGACCGAGGAACUGCUUCUCAUACUGUCUGGCUAGAGAGUGGGAGAGGAGGAUGGAAUUUCCGGUGUAGCGGUGAAAUGGCGUAGAUACUUGGAGGAACACCGGUGGCGAAGGCGGCUUCCUGGCCAAUUACUGACGCUCAUACACGAAAGCGUGGGGAGCGAACGGGAUUAGAUACCCCGGUAGUCCACGCCGUAAACGAUGGGUACUUUGUGGUGCGGGUGUCGACCCCUGCACUGCAGCAGGAGCUAACGCAUUAAGUAGCCCGCCUGGGGAGUACGUUCUCAAGAAUGAAACUCAAAGGAAUUGACGGGGGCCCGCACAAGCGGUGGAGCAUGUGGUUUAAUUCGACGCAACGCGAAGAACCUUACCUGGGUUUGAACUGGGGUGGACCGGUGCAGAGAUGUACCUUUCCCUUCGGGGACUUUCGCAGAGGUGCUGCAUGGCUGUCGUCAGCUCGUGCCGUGAGGUGUUGGGUUAAGUCCCGCAACGAGCGCAACCCCUGCCCCUAGUUACCAGCGAGUCAUGUCGGGGACUUUAGGGGGACUGCCGGCGUCAAGCCGGAGGAAGGUGGGGACGACGUCAAGUCAUCAUGGCCUUUAUGUCCAGGGCUACACACGUGCUACAAUGGGCGGUACAAAGGGUCGCGAAACCGCGAGGUGGAGCCAAUCCCAAAAAGCCGUCCUCAGUUCGGAUUGCAGUCUGCAACUCGACUGCAUGAAGUUGGAAUCGCUAGUAAUCGCGUAUCAGAACGACGCGGUGAAUACGUUCCCGGGCCUUGUACACACCGCCCGUCACAUCACGAAAGUCGGUUGUACCAGAAGCCGGUGUGCCAACCUUAGGGAGGCAGCUGUCGAAGGUGUGAUUGGCGAUUGGGGUG